rnacentral:rRNA from 1 species
GAUGAACGCUGGCGGCGUGCUUAACACAUGCAAGUCGAACGAGAAGUGAAGACGGAAACCUUCGGGCGGAAGGCUUUAUUUCGAGUGGCGGACGGGUGAGUAACGCGUGGGUAACCUGCCUCAUACAGGGGGAUAACAGUUGGAAACGACUGUUAAUACCGCAUAAGACCACAGCACCGCAUGGUGCGGGGGUAAAAACUCCGGUGGUAUGAGAUGGACCCGCGUUCGAUUAGCCAGUUGGCGGGGUAACGGCCCACCAAAGCGACGAUCGAUAGCCGAUCUGAGAGGAUGACCGGCCACAUUGGGACUGAGACACGGCCCAAACUCCUACGGAAGGCAGCAGUGGGGAAUAUUGCACAAUGGGGGAAGCCCUGAUGCAGCGACGCCGCGUGAGUGAAGAAGUAUUUCGGUAUGUAAAGCUCUAUCAGCAGGGAAGAAAAUGACGGUACCUGAGUAAGAAGCCCCGGCUAACUACGUG